AGCCUCGUGGUGUAAGAGCACAUCGAAUUGCAAAUUCAAAAGUGUAGAUUAGAAUCUGCCGGGGCUU
rnacentral:tRNA from 1 species